rnacentral:rRNA from 1 species
UACGAAGGGUGCAAGCGUUACUCGGAAUUGCUGGGCGUAAAGCGUGCGUAGGUGGUGAGUUAAGUCUGUCGUGAAAGCCCCGGGCUCAACCUGGGAAUGGCGAUGGAUACUGGCAGGCUAGAGUGCGGUAGAGGGUAGUGGAAUUCCCGGUGUAGCAGUGAAAUGCGUAGAGAUCGGGAGGAACAUCUGUGGCGAAGGCGACUACCUGGACCAGCACUGACACUGAGGCACGAAAGCGUGGGGAGCAAACAGG